rnacentral:rRNA from 1 species
GCGCAGCAGGCGCGAAACCUCCGCAAUACACGAAAGUGUGACGGGGCCAUCCCGAGUGCCGUCCGCUGAGGACGGCUUUUCCCCAGUGUACACAGCUGGGGGAAUAAGGAGAGGGCAAGCCUGGUGUCAGCCGCCGCGGUAAUACCAGCUCUCCGAGUGGUGGGGACGCUUAUUGGGCCUAAAGCAUCCGUAGCCGGCUGGGCAAGUCCUCCGUUAAAUCCAACGAUUCAAUCGUUGGGCUGCGGGGGAUACUGUCCAGCUUGGGGGCGGGAGAGGCCGACGGUAUUCCCCGGGGUAGGGGUGAAAUCCUAUAAUCCCGGGAGGACCACCAGUGGCGAAGGCUGUCGGCUAGAACGCGCCCGACGGUGAGGGAUGAAAGCUGGGGGAGCGAACCGGAUUAGAUACCCCCGUAGU